GUGCCAGCCGCCGCGGUAAUACGGAAGGUCCGGGCGUUAUCCGGAUUUAUUGGGUUUAAAGGGAGCGCAGGCUGAUGAUUAAGCGUGACGUGAAAUGUAGCCGCUCAACGGCUGAGUUGCGUCGCGAACUGGUUAUCUUGAGUGAGUACGACGUCGGCGGAAUUCGUGGUGUAGCGGUGAAAUGCUUAGAUAUCACGAAGAACCCCGAUUGCGAAGGCAGCUGACGAGUCCUUAACUGACGCUAAAGCUCGAAGGUGCGGGUAUCGAACAGGAUUAGAUACCCUGGUAGUCCGCACGGUAAACGAUGGAUGCCCGCUGUUGGCGAUAUACCGCCAGUGGCCAAGCGAAAGCGUUAAGCAUCCCACCUGGGGAGUACGCCGGCAACGGUGAAACUCAAAGGAAUUGACGGGGGCCCGCACAAGCGGAGGAACAUGUGGUUUAAUUCGAUGAUACGCGAGGAACCUUACCCGGGCUUGAACUGCAGCAGAACGAUCCAGAGAUGGUGAGGCCCUUCGGGGCUGCUGUGGAGGUGCUGCAUGGUUGUCGUCAGCUCGUGCCGUGAGGUGUCGGCUUAAGUGCCAUAACGAGCGCAACCCCUUUCGCCAGUUGCCAUCAGGUGAUGCUGGGCACUCCGGCGACACUGCCACCGUAAGGUGAGAGGAAGGUGGGGAUGACGUCAAAUCAGCACGGCCCUUACGUCCGGGGCUACACACGUGUUACAAUGGGGAGUACAGAGAGUCAGGUGCCGGCAACGUCGCCUCAAUCAUGAAAGCUCUCCUCAGUUCGGAUUGGGGUCUGCAACCCGACCCCAUGAAGCUGGAUUCGCUAGUAAUCGCGCAUCAGCCAUGGCGCGGUGAAUACGUUCCCGGGCCUUGUACACACCGCCCGU
rnacentral:rRNA from 1 species